rnacentral:rRNA from 1 species
GAUGAACGCUGGCGGCGUGCCUAAUACAUGCAAGUCGAGCGAACGGACGAGAAGCUUGCUUCUCUGAUGUUAGCGGCGGACGGGUGAGUAACACGUGGAUAACCUACCUAUAAGACUGGGAUAACUUCGGGAAACCGGCGCUAAUACCGGAUAAUAUUUUGAACCGCAUGGUUCAAAAGUGAAAGACGGUCUUGCUGUCACUUAUAGAUGGAUCCGCGCUGCAUUAGCUAGUUGGUAAGGUAACGGCUUACCAAGGCAACGAUGCAUAGCCGACCUGAGAGGGUGAUCGGCCACACUGGAACUGAGACACGGUCCAGACUCCUACGGGAGGCAGCAGUAGGGAAUCUUACGCAAUGGGCGAAAGCCUGACGGAGCAACGCCGCGUGAGUGAUGAAGGUCUUCGGAUCGUAAAACUCUGUUAUUAGGGAAGAACAUAUGUGUAAGUAACUGUGCACAUCUUGACGGUACCUAAUCAGAAAGCCACGGCUAACUACGUG